AUACCAGCCCCGCGAGUGGUCGGGGUGAUUAUUGGGCCUAAAGCGCCCGUAGCCGGCCCGGCAAGUCUCCCUGUAAAGCCCCGGGCUCAACCCGGGGAGUGGGGGAGAUACUGCCGGGCUAGGGGGCGGGAGAGGCCGAGGGUACUCCCGGGGUAGGGGCGAAAUCCUAUAAGCCCGGGAGGACCACCAGUGGCGAAGGCGCUCGGCUGGAACGCGCCCGACGGUGAGGGGCGAAAGCCGGGGGAGCGAACCGGAUUAGAAACCCUAGUAGUCC
rnacentral:rRNA from 1 species